CAAAGAUGGAAACACUUAAAAAGGCAUUUGUGAUGAUUCAGAUCUGGAGAAACAAAGAGGAAGACUGGCUUGUGGGGAGAGAAGGAAAGAGGAUGCUUGGUUCUGUCUGCCCAGUCAAGAACCUCAGACUCAUCUGGGAAUUUGGGAGGCCUGGACUCCAAAGCUCUGCAAGGUGAGUGACUUUCUAUUAUGGAACAAUGUUCACCUCCCUGCUAACCUCACAGCAUCCACAUAACAUAACACAGCAUGUCAAUAUAACACUGUGAAGGCAUUGUGUCAGAUGAGUACUGGAAUGGUAGGUGAUUAUCCUUUUAUUAAAGCUGCACAGAAUGGUUUAAAGCAGGAGUAACAAAGUCAAACAUCUUACAGAGUUAUAACGGAAGCUGUAGGUACUACCUAUACUAUAGGUACUGUCCAGGUACUGCCUACUCCUGGAACCUCCAGCAAAACUUACCAUUUCAGUGCACUAUUUUCUGCUGCCAAUAUCAGACUUUCUUUCCUACUGCUUUCUCCAGCCAAUGCCUUGCUCCCUGCUUGUGCAAUCUCAACAGUCAACUGACACGAGUGGGUGUAAAAUACCCCAGCUCCCUUGCUCCUCCGGAGUGAUAACUCAAAACAUGUUCUCUGCUGACUCUCACAUGGUCGCAGCACAAUUUAACCCUAGCUGCCUGCAGUAGUAGUAACUUGCUCAUCUACCCACUUUAAUUGGAUCUCUUCUCCCUGUCUUAACUUUCCCACCUUCUACAGGUGUUUUCUAGGAUCACUUCCUAAGUAGAUUAUCUGCCUUUUAUUUUUGGUCCUAGAAUCUCCUCCUGGUGGAGAUCAAACUAGACAAUGGUGUUGCUUGUGAGAGAAAUGGAGGGAGGAGAACUGGGGAGGGUGGAAUGCCUUUCCAAAUGAGGCAACCGACUGGCACUCCAGCUCCAGUCAAUGCCCUGUUAGGAUUCAGGACCCCAUUCCCAGAUCCAACUUCUAUAGUGAACCUGAAAAUCUCUACUCCUGACAUGAAAUCUCUCAUUUUGUUUUGCUUUUUAGGAAAGGAAUCACAGAUGUAAAACAUUACUAUCGGCUGGGCGUGAUGGCUCAUGACUGUAAGUCCAGCACUUUGGGAGGCCGAGGCAAGCAGAUCAUCUGAGGUUGGGAAUUUGAGACCAGCCUGACCAACAUGGAGAAACUUUGUCUCUACUAAAAAAAUACAAGAUUAGCCAUGUGUCGUGGUGCAUGCCUUUAAUCCCAGCUACUUGGGAGGCUGAGGUAGGAGAACACCUGGAACCCGGGAGGUAAAGGUUAUGGUGAGCCGAGAUCACACCAUUGCACUACAGCCUAGGCAACGAGAGCGAAAUUCUGUCUCAACAAAACAAAGCAACACUACAACCCUUCUGAUCAAACCAAAUGCAUUGUGAUUAGCCUAUGGGCAACCUCUUCUGGCCGAAGGCAGGAAACUGAGGGUAGAGUCAGGCUUUGGUACUUCUCAGGAUGGCAAUGUAUGCAUGGUGGGGCAGCUGGGCAGUGACGGCAAGACCUGUCUAAUUUUUCAUGUUUGGGCACCUCCAAGGUGCAUACAGAAUGUAUGUGCUCUUUCGACCUGGAAAGGCCAAAGUGACUAGACACCUGUGGCUGUUUCCUUCAGCAUCCCAUAUAGAAGAGUAUACCAUCUUCUCUACCUGCAGCCCUGCAACUUGGAGAUUCUAAACCGCUGAUGUUUUACACUAGGGCUUUCCAGUCCUAAAACAGCUUAAAUACAACCCCCAAAAAUUAUACAGAAGAAGAAUUAAAGGUCUCAAGGAAUUGGAGGUAAAAGGGCUCUUUUUCAAAGUAUGGAGACCAGUCUUUAAAGUACUGGAAACAUCUUACCUACAAAGGUGUGGCUGCUGUGUGGUUUCCCAUGUGUUAUGUCGCAGUUCCUGAAACACCAAAUCAGAAUUGGAAUUCACAGAGUCCAACCCAAAGCUCUGGUGACAAGUUGUCCCUGGCCUCUCCUUACACAUAUGUAGUCAUUGGGAUUCACUGUCUCCCAUGCUAAUUCAUAUCAUGGCUAGGUGGCUCUCAUGUUUAGAAAGUUUUCUUUUGUGUGAUAAAAUCUACCUCUCUAAAACUCAUCCUCAGUGAACAAAUUCUGC
ensembl:lncRNA